GGUGGUAUAGCUCAGUGGUAUCAGUGGUAGAGUGUACGCCUAGCAUGCUUGAGGUCCUGGGUUCAAUCCCCAAUACCACCA
rnacentral:tRNA from 1 species